AAUUACCCAAUCCUGACACAGGGAGGUAGUGACAAGAAAUAACAAUACAGGGCUUAAAGUCUUGUAAUUGGAAUGAUGGGAAUCUAAACCCUUCCCAGAGUAUCAAUUGGAGGGCAAGUCUGGUGCCAGCAGCCGCGGUAAUUCCAGCUCCAAUAGCGUAUAUUAAAGUUGUUGCAGUUAAGAAGCUCGUAGUUGAAUUUCUGCCUUGUCAUUAAUCUCGCUUCCGAGCGUUUUUUUAUUGACUUGGCAUCUUCUGGAUUUGGUGCCUUCGGGUACUAUUUCCCAGGAUUUACUUUGAGAAAACUAGAGUGUUUCAAACAGGCAUUCGCCUUGAAUACUACAGCAUGGAAUAAUGAAGUAGGACUUUGGUUCUAUUUUGUUGGUUAUUGAGCCAGAGUAAUGGUUAAUAGGAGCAGUUGGGGGCAUUCGUAUUUAA
rnacentral:rRNA from 1 species